UCAAGCUACAAAGGGCGCAUGGUGAAUGCCUUGGCAUCAGGAGCCGAUGAAGGACGUGAUAAGCUGCGAUAAGCUUCGGGUAGGCGCACAUAGCCAGAGAUCCGAAGAUUUCCGAAUGAGGAAACUCACAUGGGAAACCCCAUGUAUCCAUAAGUGAAUACAUAGCUUAUGGAAGGUAAACCCAGGGAACUGAAACAUCUAAGUACCUGGAGGAAGAGAAAGAAAAAUCGAUUUUCUUAGUAGCGGCGAGCGAAAGGGAAAGAGCCCAAACCGGAAAUUUAUUUCCGGGGUUGCGGACAGAACAUUAACGAGAAGUUAUGGAUAAUUGAAGAUGACUGGAAAGUCAAGCCAUAGAGUGUAAUAGCCACGUAAGUGAAAUUCAUAAUAAUCAAGUUCUGAUCCAGAGUACCACGAGACACGUGAAACCUUGUGGGAAGCAGGGAGGACCACCUCCCAAGGCUAAAUACUACCUGAUGACCGAUAGUGAAGCAGUACCGUGAGGGAAAGGUGAAAAGAACCCCGGGAGGGGAGUGAAAUAGAACCUGAAACCGUGUGCCUACAACCGGUCAAAGCCCCUUAUGAGGGUGAUGACGUGCUUUUUGUAGAACGAGCCAACGAGUUACGGUAUGUAGCAAGGUUAAGUACUUAAGGUACGGAGCCGAAGGGAAACCGAGUCUUAAUAGGGCGACUAGUUGCAUGCCGUAGACCCGAAACCGGGUGACCUAUCCAUGGCCAGGUUGAAGCGGGGGUAAAACCCCGUGGAGGACCGAACCACGUUGCUGUUGAAAAAGCAUGGGAUGAGCUGUGGAUAGCGGAGAAAUUCCAAUCGAACUCGGAGAUAGCUGGUUCUCCUCGAAAUAGCUUUAGGGCUAGCGUCGGAUAUGAGUAGUGGAGGUAGAGCACUGAAUGGGCUAGGGGGCAUAGCGCUUACCGAACCUUAUCAAACUCCGAAUGCCACAUACUAUUAGUCCGGCAGUCAGACUGCGAAAGAUAAGUUCCGUAGUCAAAAGGGAAACAGCCCAGAUCGUCAGCUAAGGUCCCAAAGUGUAAGUUAAGUGGAAAAGGAUGUGGGAUUUCUAAGACAACUAGGAUGUUGGCUUAGAAGCAGCCACUCAUUAAAAGAGUGCGUAAUAGCUCACUAGUCGAGAGAUCCUGCGCCGAAGAUGUCCGGGGCUCAAACUUACCACCGAAGCUACGGGUUCACACUUAUGUGUGAGCGGUAGAGGAGCGUCGUAAUCGGGCUGAAGUCGUACCGUAAGGAGCGGUGGACUGAUUACGAGUGAGAAUGUUGGCAUUAGUAGCGAGAUGUGGGUGAGAAUCCCACAGGCCGAAUAUCUAAGGUUUCCUCAGGAAGGUUCGUCCGCUGAGGGUUAGUCGGGACCUAAGCCGAGGCCGAAAGGCGUAGGCGAUGGACAAUCGGUUGAUAUUCCGAUACCACUACUGAUCGUUAUUAUCGAUGGUGUGACGGAGAAGGAUAGAGUGUGCUAGCUAUUGGAUGCUAGUCUAAGCGUUUAGGGAGUUAGGAAAGGCAAAUCCGUCCUAACAAUUCUGAGGCGUGAUGGGGAAGGUUCUACGGAACCGAAGUACUUGAUUCCAUGCUUCCAAGAAAAGCAUCUAGAGAGAGAUGUAGUGCCCGUACCGCAAACCGACACAGGUAGAUGAGGAGAGAAUCCUAAGGCCGGCGGAAGAAUCACAGUUAAGGAACUAGGCAAAUUGACCCCGUAACUUAGGGAGAAGGGGUGCCUGUGAGAGCAGGCCGCAGAGAAUAGGCCCAAGCAACUGUUUAGCAAAAACACAGGUCUCUGCUAAAGCGAAAGCUGAUGUAUAGGGGCUGACGCCUGCCCGGUGCUGGAAGGUUAAGGGGAACACUUAGCGCAAGCGAAGGUGUGAACUUAAGCCCCAGUAAACGGCGGCCGUAACUAUAACGGUCCUAAGGUAGCGAAAUUCCUUGUCAGGUAAGUUCU
rnacentral:rRNA from 1 species